GAUGAACGCUGGCGGCGUGCUUAACACAUGCAAGUCGAACGAUGAAGCCCAGCUUGCUGGGUGGAUUAGUGGCGAACGGGUGAGUAACACGUGAGUAACCUGCCCUUAACUCUGGGAUAAGCCUGGGAAACUGGGUCUAAUACCGGAUAGGAGCGUCCACCGCAUGGUGGGUGUUGGAAAGAUUUAUCGGUUUUGGAUGGACUCGCGGCCUAUCAGCUUGUUGGUGAGGUAAUGGCUCACCAAGGCGACGACGGGUAGCCGGCCUGAGAGGGUGACCGGCCACACUGGGACUGAGACACGGACCAGACUCCUACGGGAGGCAGCAGUGGGGAAUAUUGCACAAUGGGAGCAAGCCUGAUGCAGCGACGCCGCGUGAGGGAUGACGGCCUUCGGGUUGUAAACCUCUUUCAGUAGGGAAGAAGCGAAAGUGACGGUACCUGCAGAAGAAGCACCGGCUAACUACGUG
rnacentral:rRNA from 1 species